rnacentral:lncRNA from 1 species
CCAUGACAGCAAGGUGCAAGCGGAGAUAAGACAACCACCUGGGUCAGGAACUUGUAGAGAGGAUUCCUACAUGGAGUGGGAGACUGAAAUAAUAACCUCAAAGAUGCCUUCCAAUCAGAAGAUUUGGUGAUUCUUUCUGAGUUAUCAAACUGCCUUCCUUUGACCUUGCUCACAUGUAGAAAUCCAAGUCAGGAAACCCUGCUAUCACACGGAAGCAAGCCUAGGUUAGCCUCCUAAAGAAUCACAAAAAGAAAGACCCUAGCUGUCUGAAUGAUCUGAGCUAAGUCCCCAGACGUGCAAGUGUGGCCAUCCUAGACCACUGAGCUCCAGCCAAGCCAGCUUGCAUCAGAAGAACUGUCCAGAAAACUCACAGAAUCAUAAGAAAUAAUGCAGCGCAGCUUAACUUGGACUCACCACCUAUCAAGUGCUCGACAGCCACGUGUGCAGUGGUUCCUACGUGGAGCAGCAUACAUCCAGAGAUGCAAAUAUUAAUGAGGACAGUGCUAGUAACAGAGUUGCUGAGCAAUCUAUGUCCCCUUGUAAGAACCAGUGCCCCAGGGGAAGAAACAGAACUCCACAAGUGCAUUCUCUGUGCCAGCAGUGACAAAGGAAGAGAGUCUGUGGUCUCAUAGAGCUUAUCAUGGGUUUCUAGGCGAAUUUCUCUCAACAGAAAAGUUGCCAUGUAAGAUAUCCCUUCCUUCGUCUCCUGCCAUGAUUGUGAGGCACCCCCAGCCAUGUGGAACUG